CAAGCAGCAAUGAUACUUAUCCAGCUCUCUCACUUGCUGUCUGAGAAGCCAGAAGAUAAAGCCUUGCUCAUACAGGAUGCCCACUUUCAUCAACUUCUCUGUCUGCUCAACAGUCAGAUAGCCUCGGUCUGGCAUGCUACCCUCUCGAGGCUGCUGGGAAGCCUGUAUGCUCUGGGCAUCCCCAAGACCUCCAAGGAGCUGCAGUCGGUAGAGCAGGAGGUCCGCUGGCGCAUGCGGAAGCUCAAGUACAAGCAACUGGCCUUGCUGGCAGAGUCCUGUGCCACCCUCUCACAGGAGCAGCACUCGCAGGAGCUGCUGGCUGAGCUGCUCAUGCACCUGGAAAGGCGCUGGACAGAAAUUGAAGAUUCCCACACAUUAGUGACCGUCAUGAUGAAGGUGGGACACCUCUCGGAGCCACUAAUGAACCGCCUGGAAGACAAGGUACUGCGCCUGAAAGCAGGUGGCACCCAGCCUGCCUCCCCUGGGCUUUGGGCUUGUUCUUUGGGUGACAGUUGUCUGCAGAGGGGUGCGUUGUGUGCACUGGGAUUAGAGCCCCGGGAGCUUCUGUCUGGAGCCUCAGGCAUCACAUGGGGCAG
rnacentral:sRNA from 1 species